UUCUUGUUCCCAUUGCUGUUCAACGCAGAGAGGGAGCCGGCAUCAGAGACACUGGGAGCUGGGGACUGACAGUACAGGAGACCGGAGCGGGGGCAGGAGGAGCACAUGCCCUCGAAGACCUUGGGUGCGAGUAUCUGGUCACCAGACUUUUCUAGUGAUUUCCAUAACCCACCUGGACAAGCUGGUUGCAGUGAAUACGGUCUCUUCCCAAGCUGCCUGGAAUUGCUUUUCUUUUGCUGCUCCGUGUUCUAAAAUGUUCAGUGUCUUGCUCUGGCUCUUCUUGAGUCAUGUACGGCCAAAAGACCUGGUCCCCUGUUCAAGCAGCAGUAAUACCUCCCGGCCCCACAAAUUCCCAAGGAUGUUGCUCCUAAAUUCCACUUAUUUCUUUUUUUCCUGUUCUUUUCUUUUUAUCUCUUUUUUUCUGCAAGAAAUUAUUGUAUCUCUCUCUAUCUCAUAUAUAGUUCACUCUUUACAGUACAAAGUGUUAAAAUGUCAAACAAAAAUAAAUAUCAAUGUUACAGUAGCUAGAAUAUUCAAUAAAAUAGAUCCCUGCCAUUCUUGAUUGAAA